rnacentral:rRNA from 1 species
ACGAACGCUGGCGGCGUGCCUAAUACAUGCAAGUAGAACGCUGAAGGAGGAGCUUGCUUCUCCGGAUGAGUUGCGAACGGGUGAGUAACGCGUAGGUAACCUGCCUGGUAGCGGGGGAUAACUAUUGGAAACGAUAGCUAAUACCGCAUAACAGUAGAUGUUGCAUGACAUUUGCUUAAAAGGUGCAAUUGCAUCACUACCAGAUGGACCUGCGUUGUAUUAGCUAGUUGGUGAGGUAACGGCUCACCAAGGCGACGAUACAUAGCCGACCUGAGAGGGUGAUCGGCCACACUGGGACUGAGACACGGCCCAGACUCCUACGGGAGGCAGCAGUAGGGAAUCUUCGGCAAUGGACGGAAGUCUGACCGAGCAACGCCGCGUGAGUGAAGAAGGUUUUCGGAUCGUAAAGCUCUGUUGUAAGAGAAGAACGAGUGUGAGAGUGGAAAGUUCACACUGUGACGGUAUCUUACCAGAAAGGGACGGCUAACUAUGUG